rnacentral:rRNA from 1 species
GAUGAACGCUAGCGGCAGGCUUAAUACAUGCAAGUCGAGGGGCAGCACAGGUAGCAAUACUGGGUGGCGACCGGCAAACGGGUGCGGAACACGUACACAACUUACCUUAGAGUGGGGGAUAGCCCAGGGAAACUUGGAUUAAUACCCCAUAAAACAGGGGGCCCGCAUGGGCAUAUUGUUAAAGAUUUAUCGCUUUAAGAUGGGUGUGCGUAUGAUUAGGCAGUUGGUAGGGUAAAGGCCUACCAAGCCGACGAUCAUUAACUGGUGUGAGAGCACGACCAGUCACGCGGGCACUGAGACACGGGCCCGACUCCUACGGAAGGCAGCAGUAAGGAAUAUUGGUCAAUGGACGGAAGUCUGAACCAGCCAUGCCGCGUGAAGGAUGAAGGUCCUCUGGAUUGUAAACUUCUUUAUAGGGGGCGAAAAAGGGCCAUUCUUGGUCAACUGACGGUACCCUAUAAAUAAGCACCGGCUAACUCCGUGCCAGCAGCCGCCGUAA